rfam:Picea glauca, whole genome shotgun sequence.
UUAUGUACAUACUUACAACAUAACGUUAAUGCAUUGGAUUCCAUUAGAAAUCCGUAGUUAAGCAUGUUUGGGCUAGAGUAGUAUUGGGAUGGGUGAUCGCCUGGGAAGUCCUAAUGUCUUACAUGCC